GGCAGAAUAGCUCAGUUGGAUGCCUUCGGGUUAGAGCAUCUCGACAUGAGAAGGUUGCAGGUUCGAAUCCUGUGUCAGCCA